CAAAAAACCCACAUUUUUUGUAGUUAAAAAAAAAAAUCACAGAUGCCUGGAGACCCUGGCUGGCUCAGUCAGUAAAGCACACAACUCUUGGUCUCAGGUUUUAAGUUCAAGCUCCAUGUUGGGUGUGGAGAUUACUUAAAAAUAAAAAAUCUUUAAAAAGAAAAAUCACAGAUGCCUGACCCCACCCUGUUCAUUCAUAUAGCAGAUAUUUAUUAAGCAUCUUUUUUUGUGCCAGGUACCCUUCUGUUUACUUGGGAUACAAGACUGACCAAAAAAAAAAAAGACAAAAUUUCCUGCUUAUGUGAGGCUUGUGCUCUAGUGGAGAAAGAAAGAAACAACAAACACAAUAACCUAGUAAAUGAUGUGGAUGAUACAGGGAGGUAAGUGCUGUGGAGGAAAAGACGUAAGGCCAGGGACAUGAAGAGCCUUAAAGAAGGUGAGGGGAACUGGUUGCAAUUUUAAACCUAGGGGUCAGGGUUGGCCUCAUUGCAAGGACUACAUUUGAGCAGAGGCCUGAAGACAAGGGAGUUAGCACACCAGCUUCAGGCAGAGGGAGCAGCCUUUGAAGCUGAGGGGAUGAAGUCUAUUGUAGGAUCUGCAAGGACUGGCCUUGGCUGGGUCCCAGGUGUCUAUCCUCUGCCACUUAGAGGUGUUCCCACCUGGUUUCCAUUUCUCCAUCCUGAGGUUUGAGAAGUGGGUAUGUGACCACAAGGGGCACUUCUAACUUGAAACUCUGGUGGCAGGUUAGAACAGGGAGGAGAAAGACUGGAGGGGUCGACCCCAGUGGAAAUACCACUUCUGUCUUGUCAAAGUGAGUGACAAUGGAAAUGAAGGAGCCUGAGGCAGCCACCACUUGCUGGGUCCUGUGGACGGAGGAGAGUCAGCAUUGAGCAGCAGAGCAGGUGUGGUGUGACGGCAGAGGCACCGUGGUUAAGGCGAGUUCAGCAGCCUCUGAGAAGACAAGUUGAAGAAGGUCUUCUGAAGCUCACCCAGGCUCCGUGGGUGGGAGUGUGCCUGUCAGCCUGCUCAGUGGGGACCCAGAGCACAGUGAGUCUACAAGGGGCUGAGUUGGGGGUGAGGUGGGUGGGAGGCUGGGGGUGGAUUUGUCAACUCAUGUGUCCUUGAAGGUUGAGGCUGCUGACUCUCUGAG
rnacentral:lncRNA from 1 species